rnacentral:rRNA from 1 species
AGUGAACGCUGGCGGUAGGCCUAACACAUGCAAGUCGAACGGCAGCACAGUAAGAGCUUGCUCUUACGGGUGGCGAGUGGCGGACGGGUGAGGUAUACAUCGGACUCUACUUUUUCGUGGGGGUUAACGUAGGGAAACUUAAGCUCAUACCGCAUCCGCCCUACGGGUGAAAGCAGGGGAUCUUCGGACCUUGCGCGAUUGAAUGAGCCGAUGUCGGAUUAGCUAGUUGGCGGGGUAAAGGCCCACCAAGGCGACGAUCCGUAGCUGGUCUGAGAGGAUGAUCAGCCACACUGGAACUGAGACACGGUCCAGACUCCUGAGAGACGGAGCAGUGGGGAAUGUUGGACAACGGGCGCAAGCCUGAUCCAGCCGUACCGCGUGGGUGAAGAAGGCCUUCGGGUUGUAAAGCCCUUUUGUUGGGAAAGAAAAGCAUCAGGUUAAUACCCCGCUGUUCUGACGGUACCCAAAGAAUAAGCACCGGCUAACUUCGUG